rnacentral:misc_RNA from 1 species
GAUGAAGAACGUAGCGAAAUGCGAUAAGUAGUGUGAAUUGCAGAAUUCAGUGAAUCAUCGAAUCUUUGAACGCACAUUGCGCCUUCUAGUAUUCUGGGAGGCAUGUCUGUUUGAGCGUCAUUAAACCUCUCUCAAGUAUGAUUACUUGGAUGUGAAGGAAGAGUACCUUAAACUUAAGGAGUGUUCUCCUUUGAAAUUGAUUAGCAGAUGGUAAUGUUAUUAAAUCCCUGAUGUUGUAAGAAAUAACAGUGGUUUUGUAGACUAUUAUCUAGCUUUAAAUUAUAAUUUUUAUUAUGGUUGACCUCAAAUCAGGUAAGGAUACCCGCUGAACUUAAGCAUAUCAAUAAGCGGAGGA